ensembl:lncRNA
UUGUUGUUGUUGAGCAACAAUCUUACAGUUAAUUUAAAUAAAUAAAAUACCCAGAUUUAUAAACACCAUGGACAAAAUAUCGAACACCUUCGUUUUAUACAAUAUGCCAGACAUUGUGUUUGUUUGAUCAACCGGAAAUGUGACUAAAACCUCGUUGAGCUCUAUUUUUUAAUACCAACGCCCAGCAAAAAAUAUAUACGAUAUAAAAAUAAUCUAGCCGUACUCACCUUGUCGACAACCACGAAUGUGGUGCGAAUAAAACCCUUUCGUUUCCCGCUGCUCUGAAUGACCUCUGAGUUACUGUUUUCGGUGUGUGUAUGAAUGAACGAGGCUCAGCUUUCCAUACUCAAUAACGCUCACCGGCUCUAACAGAAGAAAUGAAACGGAGCGAGUGAGCGCGUUCAGUGCGCGUUCAUGACGGGGGUUGCCUGGGAACGCGCACAGCUGCACGGGUCAUCGUUAAUAUCAAUGUCACACCGGUAACAGUUAAUAUAUCCAGCGUCACGAUCAAAGCGAUCGGGAGCGAUCCGAAGCCUGGAUAAAGCAGCAGUAGCUUAUCGCGUCCCUGAGAGCGCGCGCACGGCCGAAGGGGAAGUCAAAGCCAUGGCACCCGUAUGAGAUGAUGGGAAAACUGGAAAGACAGAAGGGAGGGCAGGGCGCUUUGACGUGACACUGUUUCACUACGUUACACUUGACUAGCAGAGACAAGUCUGUAAUAGCAGGAGAGAGAGAGAGCAUGAGAAUUCGAGAAUUUAAGGUCAAAGUAAUUCUAGAGGAUUUGUUUAGGGAAGUCUUGCCAGUAUUUCCACAAAGAAAGGGAAUGCAGACAUAUGCACGAUCCUCAUUGGAUAUUUGAGACUAGAUUUGUGACGGAUGAACUGGAUUUAUUGGAAGAUUUUCUGAGAGCUUCCCUUCAACCUAUGACGCGUCUCAUCAGGUUUUGACAGCCACACACAUACCAGAGAUGAAAGCCUGUCUUCCUCCAUUUGCACAAUAUAUGAUUGUUUUACAGUAAAUCCAAGUUUUUAGUCAAAGAUUUGGCACUGCUGCCCCCUAAUGGUAAAGACUGGUUGCUUUAAGAAAGACUUGUUUUAAUGACGUCAACUUGGUAUUUGAUGUAAAUUCAAGCAAGCCACAGAUAUUUGUAAGAAAU